GUGCGACUGGUGAUGGCAGGCUGAUGACGGCUAGACCUGUGCUGUGACAGGGGGCCUGGCUGUGAAGGUGAGCUGGGUUCUGGCAAUGAAUGGAGGGCAGGUGGCGGGCUCCGUUCAUUCAUUGCCAGGCCCUGCCUAGCGCCCCCUGGCUUGCAGAGCGUGGCCAUGACAGCCCCCAGUACAGGGUUGCUGAUAAUACCCCGGGGCCGGUGACGGCGGAGGAAGGGAGGAGGUGCGGGCAGGGCAGCUCUCCUGCCUGCAGGUGCUCCUGGAAGCAGAUGGAAAGGAUUUGAGCCAAUGCGGUUGCUGUCUCCAGGGAUCCCAUGGACUGUAAGGAAGGGGAAGCAUGACUGCUGCCCUACAGUUAGGGGUGGGAUAGAGAGGUAUACUAUGUUGCAGAGAUGGGAUGGUAUAAGAAGGGGUGUAGAGGGGAGGGCACUC